CAACAACAACAACAACAUACCCAGUGAAAUCCCACUAGGUGGAGUCUGGGGAGGGUAGAGUGUACGCAGACCUUGCCACUACCUCGUGCGAGGUAGAGAGGCUGUUUCCGGAAGACCCUCAGCUCAGGUACGUUGUUGUUAAGAUAAAAUUAAUUAUUUUUUCUUAGUUUAUUUUAGUAGUAUAAAUCUGGGCAAAAAUAGUAGACAAUAUAUCUUAAUUAAUAUAUUCUUUUUAAUGAACAUAUAACAAUAAAAUACGACAGAUAAAUAAAGGAAAAAAAUAGUAGAUAAUAUCUCCUAAUUAAUGAAGAUAAUAAUAAAA
rnacentral:lncRNA from 1 species